rnacentral:rRNA from 1 species
AGGCUUAACACAUGCAAGUCGAGCGGGCAUAGCAAUAUGUCAGCGGCAGACGGGUGAGUAACGCGUGGGAACGUACCUUUGGUUCGGAACAACUGAGGGAAACUUCAGCUAAUACCGGAUAAGCCCUUACGGGGAAAGAUUUAUCGCCGAAAGAUCGGCCCGCGUCUGAUUAGCUAGUUGGUGAGGUAAUGGCUCACCAAGGCGACGAUCAGUAGCUGGUCUGAGAGGAUGAUCAGCCACAUUGGGACUGAGACACGGCCCAAACUCC